UGCAAGUCGAACGCGUUGGCCCAAUUGAUUGAUGGUGCUUGCACCUGAUUGAUUUUGGUCGCCAACGAGUGGCGGACGGGUGAGUAACACGUAGGUAACCUGCCCAGAAGCGGGGGACAACAUUUGGAAACAGAUGCUAAUACCGCAUAACAGCGUUGUUCGCAUGAACAACGCUUAAAAGAUGGCUUCUCGCUAUCACUUCUGGAUGGACCUGCGGUGCAUUAGCUUGUUGGUGGGGUAACGGCCUACCAAGGCGAUGAUGCAUAGCCGAGUUGAGAGACUGAUCGGCCACAAUGGGACUGAGACACGGCCCAUACUCCUACGGGAGGCAGCAGUAGGGAAUCUUCCACAAUGGGCGCAAGCCUGAUGGAGCAACACCGCGUGAGUGAAGAAGGGUUUCGGCUCGUAAAGCUCUGUUGUUAAAGAAGAACACGUAUGAGAGUAACUGUUCAUACGUUGACGGUAUUUAACCAGAAAGUCACGGCUAACUACGUGCCAGCAGCCGCGGUAAUACGUAGGUGGCAAGCGUUAUCCGGAUUUAUUGGGCGUAAAGAGAGUGCAGGCGGUUUUCUAAGUCUGAUGUGAAAGCCUUCGGCUUAACCGGAGAAGUGCAUCGGAAACUGGAUAACUUGAGUGCAGAAGAGGGUAGUGGAACUCCAUGUGUAGCGGUGGAAUGCGUAGAUAUAUGGAAGAACACCAGUGGCGAAGGCGGCUACCUGGUCUGCAACUGACGCUGAGACUCGAAAGCAUGGGUAGCGAACAGGAUUAGAUACCCUGGUAGUCCCAUGCCGUAAACGAUGAGUGCUAGGUGUUGGAGGGUUUCCGCCCUUCAGUGCCGGAGCUAACGCAUUAAGCACUCCGCCUGGGGAGUACGACCGCAAGGUUGAAACUCAAAGGAAUUGACGGGGGCCCGCACAAGCGGUGGAGCAUGUGGUUUAAUUCGAAGCUACGCGAAGAACCUUACCAGGUCUUGACAUCUUGCGCCAACCCUAGAGAUAGGGCGUUUCCUUCGGGAACGCAAUGACAGGUGGUGCAUGGUCGUCGUCAGCUCGUGUCGUGAGAUGUUGGGUUAAGUCCCGCAACGAGCGCAACCCUUGUUACUAGUUGCCAGCAUUAAGUUGGGCACUCUAGUGAGACUGCCGGUGACAAACCGGAGGAAGGUGGGGACGACGUCAGAUCAUCAUGCCCCUUAUGACCUGGGCUACACACGUGCUACAAUGGACGGUACAACGAGUCGCGAACUCGCGAGGGCAAGCAAAUCUCUUAAAACCGUUCUCAGUUCGGACUGCAGGCUGCAACUCGCCUGCACGAAGUCGGAAUCGCUAGUAAUCGCGGAUCAGCAUGCCGCGGUGAAUACGUUCCCGGGCCUUGUACACACCGCCCGUCUCACCAUGAGAGUUUGUAACACCCAAAGUCGGUGGGGUAACCUUUUAGGAGCCAGCCGCCU
rnacentral:rRNA from 1 species